AUAUAAUUAAGCGGAGGAAAAGAAACCAACUGGGAUUCCCUGACUAGCGGCGAGCGAAAAGGGAUCAGCCCGAGAUGUGAAUCGACGCUUGCCAGUCAAGCGUCGAGUUGUGCAUCAUGGACUUUGCCCCAGGAGUCUCUUAGUCUAAGGUAUCUGGAAAGAUACGCCACAGAAGGUGAUAGCCCUGUCUUUGACUAAGAUGACACCUGAUCCGGUACUGUUCAAAUGAGUCACGCUCUUUGGGAGUAGAGCGCAAAUGGGGUGGUAACCUCCAUCCAUGGCUAAAUAUUGACGAGAGACCGAUAGCGCACAAGUA
rnacentral:rRNA from 1 species